rnacentral:rRNA from 1 species
CAGAACGAACGCUGGCGGCGCGUCUUAAGCAUGCAAGUCGAGCGGCCAGGGCAGCAAUGCUCCUAGAGCGGCGGACUGGUGAGUAACACGUGGGUAAUCUACCUUUGGGUUGGGGAUAUCUGUUAGAAAUAGCAGGUAAUACCGAAUAAUUUUGCAUGACACAAGUUGUGUAAAGAAAGGAGCUAUGGCUCCCGCCUGAAGAUGAGCCCGCGCCCCAUUAGUUAGUUGGUGAGGUAAGGGCUUACCAAGACUGUGAUGGGUAGCCGGCCUGAGAGGGCGAACGGCCACAUUGGGACUGAGAUACGGCCCAAACUUCUACGGGAGGCAGCAGCUAAGAAUAUUCCGCAAUGGACGAAAGUCUGACGGAGCGACGCCGCGUGAAUGACGAAGGCCGUGAGGUUGUAAAAUUCUUUUAUUGCUGAAGAAUAAGCGGGGAAAGGGAAUGUCCCUGUGAUGACGUAAGCAA